rnacentral:rRNA from 1 species
UACGGGGGGGGCAAGCGUUGUUCGGAUUUAUUGGGCGUAAAGAGCGCGCAGGCGGUCGUUCAAGUCGCGUGUGAAAGCCCCCGGCUCAACUGGGGAGGGUCACGCGAUACUGAUCGACUCGAAGGCAGGAGAGGGUAGUGGAAUUCCCGGUGUAGUGGUGAAAUGCGUAGAUAUCGGGAGGAACACCAGUGGCGAAGGCGACUACCUGGCCUGUUCUUGACGCUGAGGUGCGAAAGCUAGGGGAGCAAACGGG